rnacentral:rRNA from 1 species
AACGAACGCUGGCGGCAUGCCUAACACAUGCAAGUCGAACGAGACCUUCGGGUCUAGUGGCGCAAGGGUGCGUAACACGUGGGAAUCUGCCCUUUGCUUCGGAAUAACAGUUAGAAAUGACUGCUAAUACCGGAUGAUGUCGAAAGACCAAAGAUUUAUCGGCAAAGGAUGAGCCCGCGUAGGAUUAGGUAGUUGGUGGGGUAAAGGCCUACCAAGCCGACGAUCCUUAGCUGGUCUGAGAGGAUGAUCAGCCACACUGGGACUGAGACACGGCCCAGACUCCUACGGGAGGCAGCAGUGGGGAAUAUUGGACAAUGGGCGAAAGCCUGAUCCAGCAAUGCCGCGUGAGUGAUGAAGGCCUUAGGGUUGUAAAGCUCUUUUACCAGGGAUGAUAAUGACAGUACCUGGAGAAUAAGCUCCGGCUAACUCCGUG